rnacentral:pre_miRNA from 1 species
CCCCUAGAGAGUUUGUGCAUCUGCCUGCCUGCCUGUUUAUGGGUAUGUCUCCACUACCACCCUAGUUCGAACUAGGGUGGUAGUGGAGACAUACCCAUAAACAGGCAGGCAGGCAGAUGCACAAACU